GGAACCUCUGGGCCAAUGGCAGUCGGGGGCGGGACCGAGGGCCGCCGAGCGCAAGGAGGAGACUGAGGAGCAGAGAAGUAACAGCGGGUAGUAUUUCAAGGGAUGACUAAGAGAAGAUGUCAGCGGACUUGAAGAGCUGUCAGCUCCAUUAGGGGAGAUGAGCGAAGGCUGACUCUCUGCCAGAAGACACACACGAGGCUCAGGACAUAUCAGGAACUUGCCUGUGGUCACAAUUAUAGAUCCUACAAGUGAAGAUUUGAGCCCACACAGGCCAGCACCGGAGCUGCCUGGGCCAGGGGCAGUCAUCAAUUUUGAAUUUUUUUCGGCUGAGCACUUAGGUAAGGGCUGCUGAUCUGGAGAAUGAAUCAGGGGCAAGGACUGAGAGAGCUGCAGAGGAGAGAGGGUAGCAGCCUGACUAGGAUAGGGUCAGUGGGAGGCAAGGGAAUGAAUUUGGAAAAUGUUUAGGAGGUAGAAUCAAUUAGUUGCGCUCCUCUCCAAAACCCUCACGGUAGAGUGGGGUCUUGGUUGCUACUCCAUUUCCCCUGUCUAGUUCAGUGCCUGGCAUAGAGCAGGGGCUCAAAAACACCCCAUGGGGGUG